UCUGUGGUAACACUUAUUGAAGCCUUUGCAGCCCCGCAAGGGGUCUGUACCGCGACUCUAAAUAAGAGGUUACAGUGCCUGUCCAAACAGGUAUGCAAGUUAGUGACAUUUUUUGUCAUUAGCGACACUUUCGAAUUGCGGGGACACCCUAAAGUUCAUAUCUACUAACCUAGCGGGGAAAACCCAGUUAGGGGCCUAUGUUAACAGCAUAGGGGACAGUAAAAAGGAUAUGAAAUUAGUUUUUGCUAACUAAAUGGGCAAUCCGCAGCCAAGUCCCGUAAAUAAUAAUGGGAAAGGUUCACAGACUAAGUGGAAGUGGGUGGGUGUUUUGUCACCUGCUUAAGAUAUAGUCGGGCCCCUUGGGAAACCUUGGGGGGCAAGUUAUCACCAAAAAAAACCGUUCCGUAGGUGAACCUGCGGAAGGAUCAUUACUGAGUACCGGGUCUUUCAGGCCCUUACUCUCACCCUUUUGUGUACUAAAUUAAUUUUUGGUUGCUUUGGUAGGUCCUGACCUUAUCCUUCACUGGAUAAGUGUUGGGGUCUACCAAAGGAACACCCCCUAAACUCUUGAAAUUUGGGCUUGUCUGAGAACAAAAAAAAACAAGUUAAAACUUUCAACAACGGAUCUCUUGGUUCUGGCAUCGAUGAAGAACGCAGCGAAAUGCGAUAAGUAAUGUGAAUUGCAGAAUUCAGUGAAUCAUCGAAUCUUUGAACGCACAUUGCGCCCUUUGGUAUUCCGAGGGGCAUGUCUGUUCGAGCGUCAUUUCAACCCUCAAGCUUAUGCUUGGUAUUGGGCAUCAUCCCGCCUAAAGGAUGUGCCUAAAACUCGUUAUUUUGGCGGUUGCACUCAGCUCCCUUGCGUAGUUAAACACAAUCUCGCUUGGAAACUUGGGUGGAGCUUGCCUAAAAAAA
rnacentral:sRNA from 1 species